rnacentral:rRNA from 1 species
UACGUAGGGGGCUAGCGUUGUCCGGAAUCAUUGAGCGUAAAGCGCGCGUAGGCGGCCCGGUAAGUCCGCUGUAAAAGUCAAAGGCUCAACCUUUGAAUGUCAGUGGAUACUGCCGGGCUAGAGUCCGGAAGAGGCGAGUGGAACUCCUGGUGUAGCGGUGGAAUGCGCAGAUAUCAGGAAGAACACCGACGGCGAAGGCAGCUCGCUGGGACGGUACUGACGCUGAGGCGCGAAAGCGUGGGGAGCGAACAGG